rnacentral:lncRNA from 1 species
UCUGUACUGGACAUGUGGAGGUAAUCUUUGGUUUUUUGGAGUCUUUUUUAAUAAGAUUUAAAUUUAUUGUUAUUAAGGUUUGGGGCAAAAUUUAUUUAAGAGUUGGUACGGUUUUGUCAAAGGCCGACACGCUGUUUAGGAAUCUUUUUUCUUAAAAAAAGACACAAAAAUUUAUAAAAACCUGUUAUUUAAUUUUUGAAAUAAAUGAAAUUUGAUUUGGGGUGUUGUAUAGGAUUCCCAGUUCCAAAAGUUUGACAAAAUCCUGGUGGAUCUGUGCCCUCUUUCUGCAAAAUUAGCUGACCGCUCCCUCUCUCUCUCUCUCUAAAAGUAAGCAAUCUUUCUACCUCAUCCUAACAACCCUCUCCUCCAACCCACAAAAUUAUCGCAACUCUGCCGCUCUCUCAGUCAACAAAAAUAAUUCUCUUCUAUUUUUUGAACUGAAUUGUACGAUUUAUUAUUAAUUUAAAUGUAAAAUGCAAAAAGUUCAAACAAAGACACAAGAUUACAUAAAUGAAGGAACUAAUAAAGAGGGAGUAUGGACCCUCCUUUCGCAAAAACAUCGACAUCUUCAUUCACCUCUUUAUAAGAAAGUUGUACUGUUGCCAUAGAUUUGACAAAAUAUCUUAAAUUUGAUAAAAAAAUAGUUCUUAAUCUCUAAUGAAUAUAUGCAUUUCUCUUACUCAAGAUAAUGACAUUUACUGAGUCUCCGUCAAUAACAAAAAUAAGUUUCUCUUUUUAAUUAUGCUAGUGAGAUGCGACUAUAUGACAAGGAAAAGAGUAAUUUACAGUUGGAUAUUAAAUAAUAUAAGAAUACAAAAUAGUUUAAUUUUUUUUUUUAAAAUUACACAAAAGGUUUGCCUUCUACAUUUUUUUAAUUUUUUUUUUUUUUCAAUUUGCCCCUCUAUUCAAUGAUCCCAACGUCGAACCGGUUUUGAAUAUAUAUUUUCUUCGGCCAUAGGGCUGUGUCCGGUGAAUAGAAAAAUGAGGCACCAAGGUGACCCACCAUUUGGUUUUUUUUCCACCAGAAGAUGUAUAUAGAUUCUUAGUGGGACCGCCCACAACAGCCGGGCUACAAGAAGGACCCGCCUUUUUCUCCAUGAGAACGUGGAAAUGGAAAAUAUUGAAGUGUUUUCUUGUUUGGUUUUAGGAAGAGGAUUUGAUGGGGCCUUAUUUUAUGCUUCUUUUGCCUUUACUUUAAGCGGCCAUUCUCAAACGCUUCCUGUACACACGUUGAAAAAGCAAUAGCUCCUUUACUUUGAUGC